AGGAAUUGGCGGGGGAGCACCGCAACGGGAGGAAUGUGCGGUUUAAUUGGAUUCAACGCCGGAAAACUCACCGGGAACGACCUGUGCAUGAGAGUCAACCUGACGAGUUUACUCGAUAGCAGGAGAGGUGGUGCAUGGCCGUCGUCAGCUCGUACCGUAGGGCGUUCACUUGAGUGUGAUAACGAGCGAGACCCACAUCUUUAAUUGCAAAUGUAUAUGAGAAUAUGCAUGCACUUUAGAGAAACCGCCAGCGCUAAGCUGGAGGAAGGAGUGGUCGACGGCAGGUCAGUACGCCCCGAAUUUCCCGGGCUACACGCGCAUUACAAAGAACGGGACAAUACGUUGCAACCUCGAAAGGGGAAGCUAAUCGCGAAACCCGUCCAUAGUUAGGAUUGAGGGCUGUAACUCGCCCUCAUGAAUCUGGAUUCCGUAGUAAUCGCGGGUCAACAACCCGCGGUGAACAUGCCCCUGCUCCUUGCACACACCGCCCGUCAAACCAUCCGAGUUGGUGUUGGAUGAGGUUUAAUUCGAGAGGGUUAAAUCAAAUCUGAUGUCGGUGAGGAGGGUUAAGUCGUAACAAGGUAAC
rnacentral:rRNA from 1 species